GGCUUACAAAAGCAUCCCCCGCAAAAUUUAUUCAUACUAAAUUCUUUGACAAUUUGUUACAAGCCAAUCAUUGAAAAUUUCCUAAUGGAAUUGUCAAUUGUGUGGGUAUGGCUGCUUUUCACAUUCGUAAUUUUAUGUGAUCGCCUUAAAAUUUCAGGCAGUCUUGACAUAAGUUUCCUCUUUCACCUUCUGCUCAUUUGAAAUUUUUAUCCACAAAUCCAGUGUCUUCAUAGCUUUUCCUGAUAAAUGUGUCCCACAAGCCAAAGCUACCCCUUCCGCUAAACUGCUUGUGCAGCCGCUUACCAAGAGAGCUGCUCCUGCAUUAAGGAUAAGUGCAUCUGCAAUGGACCCUUUCUCCCCAGAUAACACCCGUUUUAGUAUUUCUGCGUUGUAACCUGGCCCUCCACCUCUCAAGCUGUCUAAAGUGCAACGAGGAAUGCCAAAUUCCAAUGGAUCAAAUGAGAAUUUCUCAAUCUUUUCUGGGCUGAUGUCAAGGACAAUCCCAGGUCCAAGGGGGCUCAUCUCAUCUAAGCCCUCCGAGUGAACAACUAAUGCUUUCUUCAUUCCAAAUCUUUGCAAUGCUUUAGCCAUUUUGUAGACUAAGUCUUCUUUGAAUACUCCAACAACACCAAAAGGUACACGUGCAGGGUUCAACAUAGGGCCCAAUAUAUUGAAUACGGUCUUUACUUUUAGCUUUUUCCUCACAGGGCUUACAAUCUUCAUUGCAGGAUGGUAUUUUGGAGACAUCAUAAAACCAAUUCCCACUUCAUUCACACAUCUUGAUACACCCUCCGGGUCCAGGUCAAUUACUAUCCCCAGUGCUUCUAAUACGUCAGCACUUCCACAUGCAGAAGAACUCGANUCGAUUCCCUUGCUUGGCAACUUUUGCACCACAAGCAGCAGCAAGUAUUGAUGCCCCCGUAGAAAU
rnacentral:misc_RNA from 1 species